ensembl:lncRNA
GCACUUUUGUUUUCAGGUUAAAUUCGGGGUUUUUUUUUUAUCUCAUUCAAAAUUUUUAACUUAAAUUCAGUAAUUAUUUCAUUUCAAUGCAUACAUUCAGAUUCAAGCAUUCACACUGCAGUUUCUUCAGAAAAUGCACUUUCUAGUUAGUGUGAAUGCUUGAAAAGCAUUCACAGUAUUGUUAUUCGAAUCUUUAUUAUUAUUAUUAUUAUAUUUUAUCUAUUCCGUACGUUUUUUGUAAGCCUACUCCUUCAAAACCGUUCAACUUAGAAAAACCAUUCAAACACCGUUAGAUUCCUAUUCUUUUGGACAACACUGCUUCUAUUUUUCAUAUUUUUAACAUUUAUAUUUUUAAUUUUAUUCAACUUUAUUCAACAAAAAUUUCCCAAAAUUUCCCAUGUAUUUCAAUGGGGAGACCCUUCAAAUUCUCAUUCAACUUAUUCAUUUUUAAACUCUUACUACUUCCACAUACAUUGACAUAGAGCCACCAUUCAAACUUUAAAACGAAGACAAGACAUUCAACUAUUCAACUUGUAUUUAUCUUUUCAAUAUCUAUUAUACUUUUUCUUCAGUUCCAGUUUAAGUUUCAUGAUGUUUUUUCACCCGUUUCAGAGUUUAUAAUGGGUGUGUAUGGGACGGAAUGUUGGGGCUAGAGUGAGACAGCUCAACUGCUAGAGUGAGAGGAGCAAAAAAAUUAAUCUUAAAAUCUUUUUUAAAACUGCUGCUGUGUCCACAGCGUUUGCUCUACAGGUAUGAUUUUACCCUCAAAACGUAGCCAUGGCUGUCCUCUUUCAUCCAAUGUGUUUACUAUUGUACUAGGUGUUAUGGUUCUUUCAUAAAUGCCACCAAUGCACAGCCUCCUCCCUCCAACUCUUCCAUAGACUCUAAUGUUAAAAUGGCUCAGAAGGUUCGUUUGAAAAUCAGAAGAGCAUGGUGUCUUUCCACUGUCACCACGUCCAUAUAAUAAACUCCACAGACAUGAAAACUGAGAAUUUGGUAGACUAGACAUUGCUGUCGCUCACAGUGAAAGAAUUUUGUCAAUACGACUUUUACUUUUCAUUUGGGAACGAUUUGUUUCGGCCUGACUUUUCUGUUCAUUUUAAGCAGCAAAAUGAGGUGCAUGUCUGUGUACGUGUGUAUGGAGCCAUUGGGUGCGGUCACUAUAGCAACCAGGCUCACACCUGCCUGCUUAACGAGCUCUCUCUGCCACUCUGCCAAAAUUAAUCUUAAACACUUCUCUUUCAACUGCUGCUGUGUCCACAGUGUUAAAGCCAUCAUUUUACCCUCAAAACGUCGCCAUCGUUGUUCUUUUUCCAACAUCUUGUCUUUCAAAGCUCAGAG